GAUGAACGCUGGCGGCGCGCUUAACCCAUGCAAGUCGAACGAACCGACGCUAAAGGAAGCCUUCGGGCAGACGAGGUGUUGGUUAGUGGCAAACGGGUGAGUAACACGUGGGUGACCUGCCCCAAAGUGGGGAAUAACUGUCCGAAAGGGCAGCUAAUUCCGCAUGUGGUCCGGCAUUCGGUUGUCGGAUUAAAGGAGCGAUUCGCUUUGGGAGGGGCUCGCGGCCGAUUAGCUAGUUGGUAGGGUAAAGGCCUACCAAGGCGAUGAUCGGUAGCUGGUCUGAGAGGAUGAUCAGCCACACUGGCACUGAGACACGGGCCAGACUCCUACGGGAGGCAGCAGGGAGGAAUAUUGGACAAUGGGGGGAACCCUGAUCCAGCGACGCCGCGUGGGCGAAGAAGGUCUUCGGAUCGUAAAGCCCUUUUCCGAGGGAUGAGGAAGGACAGUACCUCGGGAAUAAGUCUCGGCUAACUACGUG
rnacentral:rRNA from 1 species